rnacentral:rRNA from 1 species
AACGAACGCUGGCGGCAUGCCUAACACAUGCAAGUCGAACGAAGCCUUCGGGCUUAGUGGCGCACGGGUGCGUAACACGUGGGAAUCUACCUUUAGGUUCGGAAUAACUUCCCGAAAGGGACGCUAAUACCGGAUGAUGUCUUCGGACCAAAGAUUUAUCGCCUUUAGAUGAGCCCGCGCAAGAUUAGGUAGUUGGUGGGGUAAGAGCCUACCAAGCCGACGAUCUUUAGCUGGUCUGAGAGGAUGAUCAGCCACACUGGGACUGAGACACGGCCCAGACUCCUACGGGAGGCAGCAGUGGGGAAUAUUGGACAAUGGGCGAAAGCCUGAUCCAGCAAUGCCGCGUGAGUGAUGAAGGCCUUAGGGUCGUAAAGCUCUUUUACCAGGGAUGAUAAUGACAGUACCUGGAGAAUAAGCUCCGGCUAACUCCGUGCCAGCCGCCGCCGUAACAC